rnacentral:rRNA from 1 species
ACUCAAAUGAAUUGACGGGGGCCCGCACAAGCGGCGGAGCAUGUGGCUUAAUUCGAUGCAACGCGAAGAACCUUACCUGGGCUUGACAUGCGGGGCGAAGCCUAUGAAAGUAGGUGCUCCUUCGGGAGCCCGCACAGGUGCUGCAUGGCUGUCGUCAGCUCGUGCCGUGAGGUGUUGCCUUAAGUGGCGCAACGAGCGCAACCCCUGUCCCAUGUUGCCAGCGGAUCAUGCCGGGGACUCAUGGGAGACUGCCGGUGCCAAACCGGAGGAAGGUGGGGAUGAGGUCAAGUCAUCAUGGCCCUUAUGCCCAGGGCUGCACACAUGCUACAAUGCGCGGUACAAAGGGCUGCUAUCCCGCAAGGGUGAGCGAAUCCCAAAAAGCCGCGCUCAGUUCGGAUCGAGGUCUGCAACCCGACCUCGUGAAGCUGGAGUCGCUAGUAAUCGCAGAUCAGCAAUGCUGCGGUGAAUACGUUCCCGGGCCUUGUACACACCGCCCGU